AAUACAUAAAGUCAGUAUCUGAAUUCAAAUAUGAAACUAGGAUGAAGUUCAGCCUGAAGAGCAGUUCUAAGGCACAUGCAAAGCAUGUAACUGUGUGGCUCUCACCGGGAAAAUACUGUCUCCUCUGCCUUGGGACUGAGCAGCUGAGAAGCAAGGCACCUGGAGAAACUUUACUGUCCAGAAGGAGCAAGUUGGAUAUAGAUGGAAUAGCAUGCUGUCUCAGUGCCAAAGAAGCAGACAAAUGUAAGUAAGAAUUUGAGAAUGGAUAAAGAGCAUUAAAACAGAGGUAUCAGAAGCAAAUACGUAGCAUUGAGUGUACACUGGAAUCCUCCUAUUGAACAUACCUGAGAACUCAGAACAAAGGAAGACGGUUUUUUCAUCUAUAAAGGGCCUUUUGAAGACUUGUGUGCUGCAGAGAGCUCUUCUGAAGCAUA
rnacentral:lncRNA from 1 species